AUUUAAAUAGCUUAAUUAAGAGCAUAAUAUUGAAGAUAUUAAAGUAACUUUUGUUUUUAAAUA
rnacentral:tRNA from 3 species